CGAAGUAGCUCAGUUGGUAGAGCAACGCAUUCGUAAUGCGUGGGUCGUGAGUUCAAGUCUCAUCUUCGG
rnacentral:tRNA from 1 species